GGUACACGCUGUGACUAGCAUAUCAAUAAGCGGAGGAAAAGAAACUAACAAGGAUUCCCCUAGUAACGGCGAGUGAAGCGGGAAGAGCUCAAAUUUGAAAUCUUAAAGGGUUUCCCUUUACGAAUUGUAGUUUAAAGAAGUGUUUUCUGUUGAGGUUUUGGUAAAAGUUCUUUGGAAUAGGACAUCAUAGAGGGUGAGAAUCCCGUAUUUGACCUUUACUUUCAACUUUGUGAUACACUUUCAAAGAGUCGGAUUGUUUGGGAAUGCAGUCCAAAAUGGGUGGUAAAUUUCAUCUAAAGCUAAAUAUUGGCGAGAGACCGAUAGCGAACAAGUACCGUGAGGGAAAGAUGAAAAGAACUUUGAAAAGAGAGUUAAACAGUACGUGAAAUUGUCAAAAGGGAAGCGUUUGACACCAGUGUUGUUUUUCUGAAAAUCAAUUAAAGAACUGUUUAUGCUAAGUUGUUUAGACUUUAUCAGCUAUCUGUUUAGUUUUGAGCUUUUCUUUAACUGCACUUUUCAGUUAACAAGUCAACAUCAAUUUCUUUUGCUGUAAAAAAGCUUGAGGAAGGUGGCUUGAGAUUCGUCUUAAGUGUUUAUAGCCUCUUGCCUAUGCAGUCGGAGAGAUUGAGGUCUGCAGCGUAGAUCCUUCGGGGCUAAAUGCAUUUGUGCUAAGUUAUAACAUUUUAUAGACAACUUGUUGACUAUGAUUUGUCUUGUAGCUUACUCGCUUAUGUUAUUUUACCUACGCUUAGGAUGUUGACAGCAGUAUAGACUGU
rnacentral:rRNA from 1 species